CAAUUAAUAGUUUAUUAAAAUAAUAAUUUUGGAGAUUAUAGAAAUAAUUUAGUUAUUUAAUUGA
rnacentral:tRNA from 1 species